rnacentral:rRNA from 1 species
GUCUGGCCUGCUCACUGAUAACUUCAAGAGCUGCGGUAUUUUGACCGUACAAAGGUAGCGUAAUAAUUAGUUUUUUAAUUGAAAACUUGUAUGAAUGGUUGGACAAAACAAAAACUGUCUCUGCUAUAAAAAUUGAAUUUAACUUUUAAGUGAAAAGGCUUAAAUAAUUCAAUGGGACGAUAAGACCCUAUAAGCUUUAUAUUUAAUAAUUAAUUAUUUUAAAAAUUAAAUUAAAUAAUUUUAUUAAUUAAAAUGUUUGGCUGGGGCGGCACGUUUAAAAAUUUUAUUAACUCUUUUAAAUUAAACCAUUUAUAUAUGAAAAUAAUAGAUCCUUUUUUAAAGAUUUAAAGAUAAGUUACUUUAGGGAUAACAGCGUUAUUUUUUUUGAGAGCCCAUAUCGAAAAAAAAGAUUGCGACCUCGAUGUUGAAUUAAAAUUUCUAUAUAGUGCAGCAGCUUUAUAAGAAGGUCUGUUCGACC